GGAGUUAGCCGGUGCUUCUUCUGCGAGUAACGUCACAGAUGUAAGGUAUUAACUUACACCCUUUCCUCCUCGCUGAAAGUGCUUUACAACCCGAAGGCCUUCUUCACACACGCGGCAUGGCUGCAUCAGGGUUUCCCCCAUUGUGCAAUAUUCCCCACUGCUGCCUCCCGUAGGAGUCUGGGCCGUGUCUCAGUCCCAGUGUGGCUGAUCAUCCUCUCAGACCAGCUAGGGAUCGUCGCCUAGGUGAGCCUUUACCUCACCUACUAGCUAAUCCCACCUGGGCUUAUCCAUCAGCGCAAGGCCCGAAGGUCCCCUGCUUUCCCCCGUAGGGCGUAUGCGGUAUUAGCAGUCGUUUCCAACUGUUAUCCCCCACAAAUUGGCAAAUUCCCAGGCAUUACUCACCCGUCCGCCGCUCGUCAUCUUCAAAAGCAAGCUUUUGAAAUGUUACCGCUCGACUUGCAUGUGUUAGGCCUGCCGCCAGCGUUCAAUCUGAGCCAGAAUCAAACUCUGA
rnacentral:rRNA from 1 species